ACAUGAUUUUUACCACAAAAAAAAAAAAUUGUUCAAAGUGUACACAAAGAUAAAAAUUACCAGACAUGUCUGUAACUGAUUUCAAAUUGGAUUGCAUUGAAGACAACACGGAAGUAAAUCACGAGGCAUAUUUUGACAAUUUCCCGCUCCACUUGAUCGACAAGAUAUUACUUUAUUUGCCGAUUUCAUCCCUCGGAGACAUAGCACUUGUCAGCUCGCUGUUCAAGUCAAGGGUUUGUUCCGUCCUGAGGGAGAUAUUUUUCAGACUGGACUCGGACAUAAACGAAGAAAUCCAGUCUCUCAAGUUGGAGAUAAUGAGGAUCCCAUCGGAGGAGGAGAUCGUUCUACUCAGGCUACCUCUGUUCAGAUCUUUCUUCAUAUGCGAAAUGCUCAGAGUGGAGCUGAAUGUCUUCAAAGUCGCUGACAGGUGCGAGCUGUAUAGCAACCGUCAGUCCAUCCUCGGUAUGGCAAAAAUUCUCAACCUGUUCAACAACUUAUAUGAAGAAUCUACAAAACGAGAGCUGCCUCCUUGGCAUGUUAAUGAUGGAUACACUGUUUCAAUGGCAAAGUUGACCAAAACGUACUUAGAACUUAGGGCGAAUGAAGAGGCGCACGAUGAAUAUUUUGGAUGUCGUAUUCUAGAACUCCUCAAUUUAUUUUUGUACAAGGUUUACAAGAUCAAAGUACGAUAUAUCCCAUUAGCUAACUCAUGCACAAUAGAAGCGCAAUAUGAAAUAUCUCAACAGCAGUUUAUUCAAGCACCGCCUAAGCUAAUUGAUCCAACUUCACAUAUCCCCACAUCCGAAGAUAAAAAAAACAUAAUACGCUUCUUAAUGAACCUGGUGAGGACCAACAGCAGGAUCAUCUUGAGAAAUGAACAAUACUUCCGAGAGUUGGAGGGCACUCGAGGCACGCAAUCGCACGAGUUCUUGUUCGGCACGACGCAGACAACAAUGCCAAGGAGUCGUGUAUUAUCAAGACAGUUUAGAGAGUACCGUGUGCUUCCGAACCCUGUUAGGAAAAUAGAGCUGAAUGACGGCCUGUACGAAAUCGAAGAAGAGUUCAAGACGAGAGAUGUGAUACUGCAUCCCAUUCAAAGCACCUGCGGGAUGCUUGAAGAUAUUCAAAUGCGAUGUAAAAAUGCGUUGCUCGAUGGAUACCUUGCCGAGGCAUGUGGCUGAUAGCUGGCAGAGGCUUAAAGUUGACCUUUUCGCUGGAAAACUCAUAUCCAGCCCACUUUGGUCAGUUCUGGCCCAUCAUCUUCGCAAUGACUAUACCCCAUCAGGGACUAGAAUCGGUGGGAAUAACAUUCAAAUGCCAAACUCACUGAACUGUGUAAUGAACUUAAGGAGUACUUUUCUCCACAGAGAUGCGGACUUGAUUCUGAGAUUUCAAGAGCCUUAAAUAGUCUGCAAAUGAAGAGAAAAAAUCAACUGGACAAAUACAAUACAAAACCAUUAUUAUUUUAUCUUUUA
rnacentral:misc_RNA from 1 species